rnacentral:rRNA from 1 species
UGAGAGUUUGAUCCUGGCUCAGAAUGAACGCUGGCGGCGUGCCUAACACAUGCAAGUCGAACGAGGUUGUAAGAGCUUGCUUUUGCAACUUAGUGGCAGACGGGUGAGUAACGCGUGGGCAACCUACCUUCGAGCGGGGGAUACCAUUCCGAAAGGGGUGUUAAUACCGCAUAACAUUGUCGAGUCCUCGGGCUUGACAAUCAAAGUUGGGGAUCCUGUAACGGGACCUGACGCUUGUAGAGGGGCUCGCGUGGGAUUAGUUAGUUGGUGGGGUAAUGGCCUACCAAGACGGCGAUCUCUAGCCGGCCUGAGAGGGUGAUCGGCCACACUGGAACUGAGACACGGUCCAGACUCCUACGGGAGGCAGCAGUGGGGAAUUUUGCGCAAUGGGGGAAACCCUGACGCAGCAACGCCGCGUGGGUGAAGAAGCAUCUUGGUGUGUAAAGCCCUGUCAACAGGGAAUAAAGCUGUGCGUUAAAUAGGCGUACGGAUUGAAUGUACCUGUGGAGGAAGCCCCGGCUAACUCCGUGCCAGCAGCCGCGGUAAUACGGAGGGGGCAAGCGUUAUUCGGAAUUACUGGGCGUAAAGGGCGCGCAGGCGGUUUGUUAAGUGAGAAGUGAAAGCCCUCGGCUUAACCGGGGAAUUGCUCCUCAUACUGGCAGACUAGAGGAUGGGAGAGGAAAGUGGAAUUCCCGGUGUAGCGGUGAAAUGCGUAGAGAUCGGGAGGAACACCAGUGGCGAAGGCGACUUUCUGGACCAUUACUGACGCUGAGGCGCGAAAGCA